rnacentral:rRNA from 1 species
AUUGAACGCUGGCGGCAGGCUUAACACAUGCAAGUCGAAUGAGUGGUGGACGGGUGAGCAAUGCUUGGGAAUCUAGCUUAUGGAGGGGGAUAACUUCGGGAAACUGUAGCUAAUACCGCGUACCUUAGGAUGAGCCCAAGUGGGAUUAGGUAGUUGGUGAGGUUAAGGAGCACCAAGCCGACGAUUGCUAGCGGGUCUGAGAGGAUGACCAGCCACACUGGGACUGUGGCACGGCCCAGACGCCUACGGGAGGCAGCAGUAGGGAUGAUUGCGCAAGGGGGGCGAGAUGACGCAGCCAUGCCGCGGGAAUGAAGAAGGCCUUCGGGUUGUAAAGUUCUUUCGGUAGCGAGGCGUUAACUACAGAAGAAGCACCGGCUAACUCCGUGCCAGCAGCCGCGGUAAUUC